UUUCAUGGAUGAGCAGAGAAAGUGGUUUCUUGAGAUGGAAACUACUCCUGGUGCAGAUGUUUGGAGA
rnacentral:pre_miRNA from 1 species